GUGCUCGCUUUGGCGGCACAUAUACUAAAAUUGGAACAAUACAGAGAUAAGCACGCAAGGAUGAUGCGCAAAUUCGCAAAGCCAUUCCAUUUAAA
ensembl:snRNA U6 U6 spliceosomal RNA